ensembl:snRNA U6 U6 spliceosomal RNA
GUGCUCACUUCAGUAGCACAUAUACUAAAAUUGCAGUGAUACAGAGAAGAUUAGCAAUGGCCCCAGCACAAGGAUGACAGGCAAAAACUAUACCCCUGGAAUUUGCUA